rnacentral:rRNA from 1 species
UACGUAGGGGGCAAGCGUUGUCCGGAUUUAUUGGGUUUAAAGGGUGCGUAGGCGGCUUUGUAAGUCAGUGGUGAAAUAUGGCAGCUCAACUGUCAAGGUGCCAUUGAUACUGCGGAGCUUGAGUACAGAUGAGGUAGGCGGAAUUGACGGUGUAGCGGUGAAAUGCUUAGAUAUCGUCAAGAACACCUAUAGCGAAGGCAGCUUACUAGGCUGUAACUGACGCUGAGGCACGAAAGUGUGGGGAGCAAACAGG